ensembl:ncRNA ZK617.23 ncRNA
GUUUUUUGUGCUUCAUCAUCUACGGAUUCCUGUGGGGCUCCACCGCUGCUCUCGGCACAUUGGUGAGCCCGUGAAAGCCGUAAAGCGACGACGGAGCAAGGGGAGCAUCAUGAGAGAUGCCGAGGCGAGAAAUAGCGCGGCAACUCGCGGGAGCCCCCAUCUGCCAGUUGUCUUUCGGGGCAUCGCCCCCACAAUACACUAGGACUUGCGAUGAUCGGAAGAACGAGACGCAGACGCGCAGAUACAUACACGGGAUCCCGCAAUCAUUUGCCAUGAGCCAUGU